rfam:Drosophila melanogaster chromosome X.
ACUUAGCUAAAACGUUUGGUUCAAAACAUUUGAUUGCUGUCUUGGCAUAACAUCAAAAAGGCAUAAACAUCGCAAAAAUUGCAAAACUUCGGUUCAGAUAGAGCAAUGAAUCGUGCAUGCUAGGAAUACUGACCAUACAUAGUGUUGGCAGACCUCUUUUGAAGAUUUCCAUACCUCUGCGAUC